UAUGUAGGGUCCGAGCGUUGUCCGGAAUUUUUGGGCGUAAAGGGCUCGUAGGCGGUUUGUCACGUCGGGAGUGAAAACUCAGGGCUCAACCCUGAGCGUGCUUCCGAUACGGGCAGACUAGAGGUAUGCAGGGGAGAACGGAAUUCCUGGUGUAGCGGUGGAAUGCGCAGAUAUCAGGAGGAACACCGGUGGCGAAGGCGGUUCUCUGGGCAUGACCUGACGCUGAGGAGCGAAAGCAUGGGGAGCGAACAGG
rnacentral:rRNA from 1 species